rnacentral:rRNA from 1 species
UAAGGAAUAUUGGUCAAUGGGCGCAAGCCUGAACCAGCCAUGCCGCGUGCAGGAAGACGGCCCUAUGGGUUGUAAACUGCUUUUGUCAGGGAAUAAACCCCCGCUCGUCAGCGGCGCUGAAGGUACCUGCAUAAUAAGCAUCGGCUAACUCCGUGCCAGCCGCCGCGGUAAUACGGAGGAUGCAAGCGUUAUCCGGAUUCAUUGAGUUUAAAGGGUGCGCAGGCGGAGUGGUGAGUCAGGGGUGAAAUCCCACAGC